rnacentral:rRNA from 1 species
GACGAACGCUGGCGGCGUGCUUAACACAUGCAAGUCGAACGGAAAGGCACUGCUUUUGUGGGGUGCUCGAGUGGCGAACGGGUGAGUAACACGUGAGUAACCUGCCCUUGACUUUGGGAUAACUUCAGGAAACUGGGGCUAAUACCGGAUAGGAGCUCCUGCUGCAUGGUGGGGGUUGGAAAGUUUCGGCGGUGGGGGAUGGACUCGCGGCUUAUGAGCUUGUUGGUGGGGUAGUGGCUGACCAAGGCUUUGAAGGGUAGCCGGCCUGAGAGGGUGACCGGCCACAUUGGUACUGCGAUACGGCCCAGACUCCUACGUGAGGCAGCAGUCGGGAAUAUUGCACAAUGGGCGGAAGCCUGAUGCAGCAACGCCGCGUGCGUGAUGACGGCCUUCGGGUUGUAAACCGCUUUCGCCUGUUACGAAGCGUGUGUGACGGUACUGGGUAAAGAAGCACCGGCUAACUACGUG